GCGGGCGUAGUUCAGUGGUAGAACCUCAGCUUCCCAAGCUGGUGACGUGAGUUCGAUUCUCAUCGCCCGCUCCA
rnacentral:tRNA from 1 species